rnacentral:rRNA from 1 species
AAAUUGAAGAGUUUGAUCAUGGCUCAGAUUGAACGCUGGCGGCAGGCCUAACACAUGCAAGUCGAACGGUAACAGGAAACAGCUUGCUGUUUCGCUGACGAGUGGCGGACGGGUGAGUAAUGUCUGGGAAACUGCCUGAUGGAGGGGGAUAACUACUGGAAAUGGUAGCUAAUACCGCAUAAUGUCGCAAGACCAAAGAGGGGGACCUUCGGGCCUCUUGCCAUCG